AUGUUUUUUUUUUGGUUUGUUUGUUUUUUUUAUAGAAAGCCCAAAAGCGAAGCGUCCCUUCCUCCAGGUAUGUAUAUAAGUUACUGUACUGUGUGGGAGGGUCACGAUCUCGCUAGGUGCAGAAGAUUCCCCGGGAUUAACCCCUCCUCUCCCUUCCCCUCCUGCAACUUGUUGAGGAUGGCACCGUGCGCGCACGCGGAGCGGCACACGGCCGCACGCACACACACGCGGAGCGCGGCGCCGGAGCGGUCCGGUGCCCCCCGACGGCGCGGUGAUUGGCCGCGCUGCUCGUGGAGAAGGGGACGUCUCAAGUCGAAGUCACGAUUUCUCCUCAGUUUGGAACCAUCUGUGACUGGAGCCAUGACGCAGCCAGAGCACAUUACUCACUUUUACAGUCACGACUUGGAAAUCCGUGCAGUUUCCAACCAAAAUUACACCGCCACCAUUGAAUUAUUUAAUAGGAUCCAGUUAAGGAGCCGCCGUUUCCGAGUUCCGACGAUUGGCUGCACGUGCCGUAAGGGCUUUCUUUCCUUUCAACCCCAACCAAACAAACCGGGGACGGGUCCGUUUGUAAAUACGACCACGCGCGCUCGGGGAAGGAACGGUCCGGUUCCCGCAUUCGGGGCGUCCGUGGGCGGAGUGCCGCUGUGCGGCUCCGCGGGGCUCGGAGCGAGGAGAGGCGCUUUGUGUGCCCGCUGCCGCGGCCGCAGCGCUGCAUUGUCUGCAGGAUCCGCCGGCGGUGCCGGGCUUUGUGCGGGCUCUGGCUGCGGCGGAGCCCCCUCCCUUCUCGGCGGCUCCGGAGCGGUGCCGCGGUGCGGGGCUGCCCGGGGUGCCGGCCGUGCCUGCCCCGCCGCGGGGCUGCGGCGCCGUGACCCUGCGGCUCGGCCCCUCGCCUCUCUUUCGGCCGUUCCCCCGCCUCGGAUCUGUCUGCCUAAGGACGCGAAGGACGGGCGACAAUAA
rnacentral:lncRNA from 1 species